rnacentral:lncRNA from 1 species
UCGUUAAACCAUUCGAAAUAAAAGUUGGAUACUCAGGAGUCUUGCGCACUAAGUGCUCACAUCAUGACCCGAAGCCAACUCAAUAUAUCUCGCACCCAAAGUGCUAAUAUCAUUGCCCGUAGCCAAAUCAGUGAAGCUUGCACCCGAGGUGCCGAUAUCAUGGCCUGAAGCCAAAUCAAAGUAACUCGCACCCGAAGUGAUGAUAUCAUGGCCCGAAGCCAAAUCAAAGUAACUCGCACCCAAAGUGCCGAUAUCAUGGCCCAAAGCCAAAUCAAAGUAACUCGCAGCUGAAGUGUCAAUAUCAUGGCCCAAAGCCAAAUCAAUAUAUCUCCUAAUGACAAGUCAUUAGUAUCCUAAUCUAUUCCUAAAGUUCAACCGGGAGUUUCAAUGUCGAAACAUCGUCGAAUGUAUCCGUAGAGUCAAAUUUAAAAUUCAUACAAUAUCAAAGCAUUUAAAACAUAAUUAUAUCAAUGCUUAUUACAUACGAACUUACCUCGAACGUAAAAACGAUGACACGGGUCAACUAAUCUGAGACUUUGUUCUUUCCCCAAUCUAAGUUCAUAUUUUGCUUUUCUUGAUAAUUGAGCUAGAAAGCUUGGCCGAUUGAAACCCUGAAAGAAUGACUUCUUUUCUCUUUAAAAUCGGUUGGAGAUAGAGAAAUAAAGAUGAAUAUUGUUUUUGUUUUAUUUAUUUUAAGCUUAUUAACUAAAUACCAAAAUUAACAUUGGUUAUAAAACAUAAAAAUAACUUAAUACUUGUCCAUACUUAUCCACUUAUAAUUCAAAUGGUCUAAUUACAACAUAAGGACAUCCACUAUUUAAUUUCAUGGCUAAUAAACCCUUUUAGCUUGUAGAACAAUUUUUUACUUUACGCGAUUUAGUCCUUUUUACCAAAUUAACAAAUUAAACGAUAAAAUUUCUUAACGAAAUUUUCACACAAUUAUUCUAUCAUACUGUAAACAUUAAAAUAAUAAUAAAAUAAAUAUUUUGACCUCAGAUUGUGGUCAAAACACUAUUCUGAUUUGACUAAAAAUGGGCUGUUACAAUUUUUAUCGUCAAGUAUCCACCGUUUGAUUAACAAAACUUCCAUAUGAUUUUGAUGUUUUGAGCCAUCAAUGGUGAAAACAUAUGGAGAAAUUGGACCCUAUCAGGGACUAAUUCAUCUGCAUAAAGUUCAACCAUUGUCCAGACCAAAGAAAAGAGAAAAAAAAACAUGUAGAGAUCAAUGUCAGAGAGGGAACUCAAAGAAAAAAAAAAGGAGAGGGAGAGAGAGAAAGAGAAAGAGGAAGAUUCAGUUUAUUUGAAAUUUAGACGCUCCAAUUCUUUAAUUCUACUUAACUAAAUUCCACAAAAUUCAAAACUCAGCUUUAAAAACCUAGUCUUUCCAAUACCUAGAUCUCAAUUUCCUUUAGUUUGAUUAAAUUUGCCACGUUUAAUUCAUUUCCCCUAUUUCUCAACUGCAACUAUUUGCAAUAAUUAGAGGUCCAAUAUUUCAAGAUAAACCUUAGUUAAUGUUAUUUGCUUUCUUUCCCCACCAAACAAAACAUCUUCUUCCUUUAAUCUCUUAAUUUCGUUUUGAAUUUCAACAAAAUUCCAAGGUAAGUUGUUGAAAGAGAAAAUAUUUUAAAAAUCUAAAAAUCUUAAAAUUGAAAGACAAAAAGUGAAACUUCCUGAUUAUUGCAAAUAUUUAACGUGUCUGUUUAAUGUUCUUUCCAAAUUGUGGAAAAUGUUAAACAAAACGACCACUUUCUCAAGACACCACAGUUUUCUUCUACAGUAACUGUCUUUUAGGUUGGGUUUUUUUAUGAAUUCAACCAGAGCAUCUUAUCUUAUAGUUCAAAAAAACUGAACUUUUCAUUCAUCUUUCUUUGUUGUUAUUUCGCAGCUAGCUAUCUUUGAUUCCUCUUUUGUUCCUAAAUUAUCUCUAAAUUUUCUAGAAUUUAUAUAUCCUCCACCUUGUAUUUUACUUUAGUAGAUUUUUUGUAAGUGCAGCAAACCCUAACUGUCAUGAUGUGUCGUCCAUAAGCAAUCCCACACAAAAACAGAGUGAAUAAAGCAUGGGAACAUAAAAAAAAAAGAGUUUUAAUUUAAGGAAAUAAAGUUACAACCAAAAAGAGUUCUUAUAAACCACUGUUGUAUUGUUGGUCUAUUAGAUAAUGCUUAUGAACUUUUGGAAGAGAUGAAACAGACAUACUAAAACAGAAUCAAAACUUUCCUUCAUUUUCUCGGUGACCAAACAAAAAGAAAGUGAAAAUGAUAUUCCUUACCUGAGUCAGUUGAGGAAAUCCGGUGGGCGCCAGCAACAGAGGAAGUCGGUGGGAGGUGGAGAUGAAUAUGGUGACUGGUGACUGGUGAGCAGCGCCGGGAGACAGCACUAUUGGAUCGAUAGAGGUGGUGGUAAGUUGGGGACUUUGAUUCUGGAAUUGGGAAUAAGGGGGGGAGGAAGGCACGAAAGUGAAAGUGAAACUAAAAAGAUAAAAUUAAAAAUAAAAAAUGAUUAAAAAUAAAAUAAAAUAUUUAGUACAUAACUCAGGCCGGGCCCAGGCCAAAAAAAUCUUACCCGAGGCUCGGCCCUUGUUUAAACAGGCCUCAUUUUUUGUCUAAACUAUUUU